rnacentral:rRNA from 1 species
UACGUAGGGUGCAAGCGUUGCCCGGAUUUAUUGGGCGUAAAGGGCGCGCAGGCGGCUACGCACGUCCGUUGUGAAAUCGCUCGGCUCAACUGGGCGGGGUCGGCGGAUACGGCGUAGCUGGAGCAAGCUAGGGGGCAAUGGAAUUCCCGGUGUAGUGGUGAAAUGCGUAGAUAUCGGGAGGAACACCUGUGGCGAAAGCGGCUCACUGGACAGUAACUGACGCUGAUGCACGAAAGCUAGGGGAGCAAACAGG